rnacentral:lncRNA from 1 species
GGUCAUCCUCCUGAGCCACACAAGCCUCGUCCAUGACACCACACUGCAUAUCCAAUACAAUGUGAACCUUAGCUUGGUACUUGAGCGACUCUUUCACCAGUUUCGUGUUAUUUAUGUAAUAAAUUGAUAGAAACUAUUUCUACUAAAAUAAUUUAAUAAAAUAAAGUAGCAUGUUUGAUAUAUUUUCUAGGUUAUGGAGGAUAAGACUUAUAUAUAUUAAAGAGACACUACCUUUCGUUGUAGGCAUAUAAUGAACAUUUGAAGAAUAUAAUGAAAUCAAUUGAAAGAUAAAUGAUAAUAUAAUGCAUUAACAUUAAGAGAAUUAUCUAAAAAUAAAAAGUGAACAUUAACAUAAUAAAAUGAAAUAAAUUAAAAUAAGAAAACAUGAAUGUAGAUGAGACUUGUGUAUGGAAGGAAAUAAGAUAAAUUGCCAAAAUUAACUUAAGUGUAGUGAAAAAGAAAAUGUCAACAUAUUGUCACUGUUAGAAUCAAAACCACUAGUUUCAAUCUGAAGUUAGCAAUGGAUAGAUAUAAAUAAAAUCAACUUUUAUAUCAAUACUAUUUGUCGAAACCAUUUUUUUUACAAGGGGUCGAUUUUGAUUUUGAAAACAAAAACAAACAUGAGAGUCGCCACCAAUCCUUUUUGAUGAGGUGGGAUCGGGUCACCUCGAAAAAUGAUUAUUUUUUAAUGAACGGUUUGAUUUAUUAAAACAACGAUUUCGGUUUACAGAAUUCAGAAUAAACAGAUUCAAGAGUCGGUUACGUACGAGGAAGGAUUAGCACCCACGAAACGCCCAAAAUUGAUACCUAAUUGAUUAAUUAGUGUCUUAGUGUCGAAAAUUGAAAACUUUGAAGAGAUUUAAAAUAUGAUCCUUUGUUAAAUUUGCUUAAUUGAAUUUUUUUUUAGAAAAUGGCAGAUUUCACGUUAAUUGAAAAAAAGAAUUAUGUCCCGUAAGUUAGUACACAAUAUCUUAAAUCACCAAAAUGAGAAUAAACACCGAAAGUUUUAUUAUUUUAAAGGAUAUGCGAUAUCUUAAUUUUAAAAAAAAAGAAUCAUAUUUCGUAAGUUAGAACACGAUCUUUUAUUAAUUCCCGAGAUGAUUAAAAAAUUUAUGUUAAAAAAGGGUUCGUGUAUUCGGAUUUAUCGAGAAAAUCGAAACCCCGUAAGUUAGGAAAAAACUUUUUGAAUUCAGAAAUACGAAAUAUUGCUUAUUUAGAACAACAUUUUUAAUGUAUCAAGUAAAAUGUAACACGAUUUUGUAGUAAAAUGUGAAAUAAAUUACGGUGCUAAUAUACAUAACAGAAUAACAAAAAAUACAUUAAUGUGAACAACAAUAUAAAGAACGAAAAUAAAAUAAAAUAAACAAACCAAAAAUAAAAAGACAAAUAAUAAGGAUAACGAACUAAAAUUUAAAACUAAAGACUUAAUAUUAUAUAAAUAAAUAACAUAGUUUAGUGUCUGCCGUUUUUGGCACGUUUCUUUGUCUGCCAUUUUUUGGCACGUUUCUUUAUUGUUCUGAUUCAAGGUUUCUAGUUGGUUCUUGGGGCAGUUUUUUGGGGUGUUUUACUGGGGGAUUCUCGCUCAAUUUUGUUUUGUUUUGAUUGGUAGAGUGGGGUGGUUUAAUGGAGGAUGCGUUGGAUAACUUGAGGCUACUGGAUGAUGAGGAGGAAGCGUUCCAAGGGGAUGAAGAAGCGGCGGGUGGAGUUCAUCAACUCUGUUUGGUGGGUCGAUGCCUUACGGAUAGUGUUGUUCACUUUCCCUCAUUACAUAAUACGAUGGCGGAUCUCUGGCAUCCUAUAGGGGGCUUUGUAUAACGGAGUUAGGGGAGAAACGAUAUCUCUUUCAAUUUUUUCAUGAGGUUGAUCUUGAAAGGGUUCAUACCGGUAUACCGUGGUUUUUUAAUAACCAUUUACUCAUAUUACAAAAAGUUCCAGUUGGGGUAAAUCCAGCAGCGAUGAAGUUGAAUCAUUCGGAGUUUUGGAUACAGGUUCACGAGUUGCCUCCGGGGCUGAUGAGUGUGGCAAUGGCAAAACAAUUUGGGGAUUUUUGCGGUAAGUUUGUUGAGUAUGAUUCGUCCAUUCCGUCUAUGGGGGUCGAAAUUAUUUGCGUAUUCGUGUUAGCUUAAAUGUUGCUGUGCCGUUGAAGCGUAAAAAGAAAGUUCUGGUAGGGAAGUCUAUGGUUGUUUAUACUCGAUUCAAGUAUGAAAAGCUAAGUUUGUUUUGCUUUAUUUGUGGUAAGUUAGGGCACGGGGAGAGCUACUGCCCUUGCCGACUAACUAUUGAUUCAUCUAAAAUAGUUUUUGGAUGGGAUUUUUCAUUACGUGCGGAGGCUAGGCGUAGGAGUAUGGUGAUGAGUAGGUGGCUGCGGACAGUAGAUGGGUCACCAUGCCAUGAUGAAAAUUUGGCAGGUGUCAAAGAUGGUAAUUUGGCUAAUAUGGGGAAAGAUUUGGGCCUUCAUUCUAGGGGUUUUGGUAGGAAUUUGAAUUCUAAAAUUAAUCCUAAUUUAAUUCCUUUGGGAUCUGUUCAAAUUCAAGGUGUUGGUACAUUGGCUAAGGGGCGUGAUGGGAAAUUUGAUGGUAUGAGCUCUGAUGGGGUCGAUUAUGGGCCUAUGGAGUUGGCGUUGGUUGAGGAAAAUGACCCACUUACGGUUAUGGAGGGUAAAAAAUGGCAGAGAGUCGUGGAGAGUUCACAUGUUUGUAUGGACACUAAUGAGGGAUCAGGUUUAAUGAAUGUUUCGGCUAGCUCUGAUGGCCAGAGCAGCCGGGCCCGAUAAAAGUGCUAAGCUGGAAUGUUCGUGGUUUGGGGAGAUCACGAACAGUUAAAAGGCUCAAGAAUAAGUUAAGAGCUAUUAAUCCCCGCAUUUUGUUUCUUAUGGAGACAAAAUUGAGUUCGAAAAAAAUAGAAUUAGUCAGGCUAAAGUGCGGUUUUGAGAAUGGAAUUGAUGUUGGUGCCAUAGGUGCAAGAGGGGGGUUGUCGUUGGGUUGGAAAGGAAAUGCAUUGGUUCAACUUAAAAGUUUUUCUUCUUAUCACAUUGAUGUUGAAGUCCAUGAUAAUGAGUGUGGGGAUACCUGGAGGUUAACGGGGUUUUAUGGAAAUCCGGAUGAAAGGUGUAGGGCAGUCUCGUGGGAUUUGCUGCGCCAGCUGAAUCAUGGUCAGGUCAUUCCUUGGGUGGUUUUGGGAGAUUUCAAUGAGAUUACGAGCUCUUUUGAGAAGAAGGGUGGCCGGCUCCGAUCUGAUAGUCAAAUGAGGGAUUUUCGCAGGGCUCUCGAAGACUGUAACCUUAAUGAUUUAGGUUUUGUUGGUCGUUGGUUUACAUGGGAACGAGACCGGUUUGCUUCAACAAUUAUAAGAGAACGUCUGGAUCGUGGGGUAUCAUCUUUGAGUUGGGUAAAUCUAUUUCCUGGGUAUCGCCUUGAACAUUUGAGUCAUUCGUUUUCUGAUCACUGCCCCCUACUUUUGGAUACGUUGGGAAUGGCAUGGAAUAAUCAAAAUGGCUCUGCAAUGGCGUUUCAUUUAAGAAUAAUAAUAUUAAUAAUAAUGACGAUGAUAUUAAUAAAAAUAAUAAAAAUAAUCUAAAAUUUUAAAAUUAUAUAAGAGGAUAUAAAUAAAUAGAUGAUAAAAUAAAAUAAAUGUUUAUAAAAAAAUUUAGGUACAUAAAUAUAAGAGAAAUAUAAUAAUAAUAGUAAUAAUAAUGCAAAAUUAAUUAAUUUAAUAAUAUAAUAAUAACAAGUAAAUAAAUAAAUAAUAUAAAAUAAUAAUAGUAAUAAUAAUAUUAAAUUAAUUGAUUUAAUAAUAAAAUAGCAAAAAUAACAAAAACAAAUGGGCCAAAUUGAACUUUAAAACAGAAGUUUGGGGCAAAUCAGAAAUAAAUAAGACGGAAAAGGACCAAUUUGAACGCGCGAAUAACAAGAAGGGACCAAAGGAGAAAUAAUCCCCACCCUCCAAAACGCACAGCUUCGAGGUGGACCAAAUUGAAAGCAGAAACAAAUUAUAGGGCAAAAUUAAAAAAUAGAAGAAACUUGAUUGCAAACAAUUAAAAAGCGGAAGGGUUAAAAGCGCAGUUAGCCCUUUUAUUCAAAAAAGCGGAUCCUAGUAGCAGGUCGGGUUGGCGCGCGGGUCAGACACAAAACGAUGACGUUUUGGUGCCUGAGAGGCCUGCCCAAAACGGCGUCGUUUUAGAAACCUAUUUAAGUCAGUUGACAAAAAUCAUUUCGCCCUUUGUUCAGAAAAAAAAAACCUUAAAACUCUAUCCCCCUCUCUGGUUUUCUCUGGGCACUGCCCAGUAUCCGGCGAAUGGAGCCGCCGUGGCGCCAUCGUGUAAGGUGGUCGGAGGCCCCCAGGUUAGUUUCCGUCCUUUUUUUCUCUCUUUUUUAUAUUAUAUAUAUGUAUAGUUUUUUAAAUAAAAGGAAAAUAAUUUUUUUUGAAUAGGAGCAGUUUCGAAACUGGAAAAAUAAAGAAAAAAAUGACCUUCUCACGCUUCCCUUUGGUUUUUUUUUCUUCGAUCUGCUUUGCUGCUUGUUGUUCUUAUGCUUGAAUUUGUUUUUGUAUUUUACAAAAAAAAAAAAAAAACCCCCGAAGAAAAAGAUUACAAUCGGUUCAAAAUGGCUUUAUAGCCGAUUUUUACACAUUUUUUAGUCUAUUUUGCAUGCUGUCACUUCUUGCUUUUAAUCUUUGUAGGUGCAAAUGCGCGGUGCAAGUGGAGGGCGGUGCUGCAGUGGCGGUGGCAGGGCUGACAGGGGCUAGGUGCGGCGGCAGCAGGCUUGGGUUUCAGUUUUUUGCUGACACUGAGUUUAGUUUUGGGCCAAUCGGGCCGCCUAUGGUUUUAGAGUUUUGGUUUGGGCCGUUUGGGCAUGUUGUAAAUGGACUGGACUUUACUAAUUGUUUUAUUUUAUUUUAUUUUUGGGUUGUUUGUUUAGGGCCCGGGCAAUUUGGGCUGAUAACACGAUUUUUCUAUCAAUUCAUUAAAAUUUUAAAUUUUGCACUAUCAUCAUUAAUUUAUUAUUUUGAAAUUUCAAAAAUAGUUUGUAAUCGUUGUAAAGAGGAUCAAACAACAAAAGAAACCUUAAAUUCCAAGAAACACUAUAACAGUUGAGGAGAACAGAAGUUCAAAGCGAAAGGAAAAAGCAUCAUACCUCUGAAUUAAUUUAUGAAGUCAACAUAUUAGCUUAGAAUAAUGAACAAUUAAACACAUUACAAACGAAAACCAUAAAAAUACAAAAAUAAUUAGCAACCGGCAGCCCAGCCCAUUAUAGCCAGCCUCUGUCACACUUAGCCCAUCCUAUCUGUUAACUUUUACAUCGAAAUGGCCCGACUUGUGUUUCAUCCAAACUUCUAUCAAUUGAGAAAAUUUUGGGAUAAUUUCUAUAGAAAUUCUUACAAAAUUUCAGCCAAUGUUUGUUAGUAUUAGUAAAAAUAAUAAACUCUUCUAAACUCUUAGAUGUUGAUGGCCUAAUUCGAGUAAAUUUUAACUUGUACGGUUAUAGCUGUCCAAAAAAAUUAUUUUAAAGUUUAAUUAAUUGAAAUGAAAAUAAAAACAAGAUUCACAGGAUGCUACUAGGCAACUAUUUAAAGUAGUAAAAUUCAUUUGAAGUCGAUUGAGUCUUAACUUGAUUGGUAUUGGUGUUAGUGCAGGAAAAUGUAGGUUUAAGUGUGCUAAAACUCAUUAUCCUUCUAUUUAAGGGUUAAAGAUGGACUAUAGAUAAUUUUAGACAUUAUAUAAAAAAAGUAAAUAUAUUAAAAACUUAUAAUAAAUCUAAUAUUAAAAAAAAAACCUCAUUUGAAACAGUUUAGUCGCUAAUGUUAUUCUACUGGGCUAAGAAUAUGAAUGAGUUAUAUAAUUAGUAAACUUACUAUACUUUUUUAAAUUUUAAAAAUUCACUCUUAAUUACAAUAAUUAUUGUUAAAUUCAUUAAUUACAAUGUCGUAUAUUUCUAUAACUAUUAUAUUUUAAUGACUAUUGUUCGUCAAGAUUGAAAUUUCAAAUAUUAAAAAAAAAUAUAAGAGCUAAAAAUAAUUAAAUUAGAGUCGAUUGAGUCUUAAUUUGUUGGCAUUGACCUUGUUACCAAUAUAUAGAUUUGAGUUUGAGCGCGUUGAAGCGUGUUUAUUCCCUUAUUUAAAGGUUGAGAAAAGGGUUAUGUAUAGUUAUAAACAUCUUCUAAAAAAUAAUUUAGAAUUUUUUUUACAAUGACACAUAUGAACAAAUAAAACUAAAAUUAAUAAUUAAAUUAUAGGGAGAUUAAAACAUUUUCCUGUCACCCUUUUUUUUUUAUAGCAGCAGUUGAUGAAGAUAAUGUUAUACUGAAAGGUGUCAUCAAAGCAUUGCAUCGUACAUACAACCAAAAAAACAAAUGACUUUCUGCUGUUUACAUUUUUGACCAUCCAGGGAACUCCAUGAAUGUUUUUUUGGUGAAAACCUACCACCACCGGCAAAUCAAACUUGGCUUUGACUUGUAGUUAAAAAGCGAAGUCCUUCAUGGUUAAAGGGGUGGGGGGGGGGGGGGGCACUUACAAGUAUAAAUUCACAACUUCCCUUGUAACACAAUCUAGCUAGCUACAAGGGAAAUUUGAAAAGAAGAGAAAAAAUGCAUAAUCCACCACCACCAGACCCCCACCAUCCUCAUCAUCCCCACCACCCACAUCCGCAACCCCAUGCUCCGCCUCCAGGUCCGCCACAUGCUGAUCAUCCUCCUCCAGGCCAUGCUCCUCCUCCUGGACCAGGCCCCCAUGCGCCACCGCCAGGACCAGGUGGUCCAGGUCAUCAUCCCGAGCCACACAAGCCUCGUCCAUGAUCCUUAUACCGUGUAUCCAAUAUUAUGUAAGCUUAGGCUGGGUACCGUACUUAUAAAACUCUAUCACCUACUUGGUGUUAGGCUUUAUGUAAUAAAUUAAGAAAACCUAUUUCUACUAUAAUAAUGAUAAAGUAGCACGUUUGAUGUAAUUUCUACGUUAUGGAGGCCAUGGCUUAGAUGGGCACUGGGCACUUUUAUUUUUGCUUAAUUUGUCAUGAGCAUGAGGAUUAGUUUGUCUUAAAUUGCUCUUUUUCUUUUACUGGUAUGGCUGAUUAUCAAUUUUAUUUCUUUUGUGUUUAAACAAAAUACCACCUGGACAUCAAAUAAUUGUGAUUAAAGGUGAAGAUAUGACCAACGAGCCCAUUUGGGUUUACGUUCGUAAUUGGGCUUGGCUUAUUUAUUACUAAUAGAUCGGCUCUUGUAUCCACUAAUACAAGUUGGGAUUCGGCUUAAUCUUUUAAGUAAUUAAAAAAUUUUCCUUCUUUUUCUAACAUAUAUACAUAUAAAUAUUUAAAAAAAAUCGUAUGAAUUUUUUAGAAUUUACAUGCUAAUUGAAAAUAUGAUAAAGUAUAGUAAAAAAAUAAUUUAAAAAUAGAUCACUAUACUUAUAAAAUAAGAAAAUGUUGAAAACUGUGC